UACGAAGGGGGCGAGCGUUGUCCGGAAUCAUUGGGCGUAAAGAGCGUGUAGGCGGCCACUUAAGUCCUGCGUGAAAUCUUGCGGCUCAACCGCAAGCGGUCGUGGGAAACUGGGUGGCUAGAGUGCGGGAGAGGAGAGUGGAAUUCCUGGUGUAGCGGUGGAAUGCGCAGAUAUCAGGAAGAACACCCGUGGCGAAGGCGGCUCUCUGGAACGCAACUGACGCUGAGACGCGAAAGCGUGGGGAGCGAACAGG
rnacentral:rRNA from 1 species